rnacentral:lncRNA from 1 species
GGACUCUGCCCUUUCUACCCCGCGCUUUCCUUCCCGGCUUCCGUAUCAUUUAAAGGGACCGUGCUCUUCCUUUCCCAGCACUCCGGCUUGAGUGUUAAAUGGCCAGCAGGAAUUAUCCACUAGAGAAGCGGAAGGGAGAGAAUGGAAAUGGCCGCAUGCAGCUCCUCUCCCUCAGACAGCUCGGGGCUCAGCGGAAUGAGCACAGUCUGCAGGACAAGUGCGGAGGACUUCAGUCCCCUCUACUGUAUAUUGGCUUUAGGACUCAAGUUGUCCCUGAAAUAGAGGAAGGUGUUUUCUAGGGUAGUGGUAAUUAUCACAGUCAAAAAAGUAGGCGAGAGCACUUAGGAAAACUGUGCGGAGAUCGGCUGCUGAUGUGUAAAUACUGCUGAAGCUGCUUAUUCAAGAUUAGAAAACCUGAGACCCAGACGGGGGAAACUGCUUUCCAUGGUUAAUCGUCAACAACUGGCCAGGAUGGGACAGAAGCCCAUACAUAGCCUUCAUUCCAGGGCUCAGAACAAAAAGAAGGCAGUGGCCUGGGCUGCACCUGAGCUUGGCUUCACAUAGGAGGGAUUCUGGAACGCAGGAUCCUGACAACGACCUCAAGCCCCUGUAAAGCAACACAUUUUUUGGCAAGAAUCCCUGGGACAGAGAAAGAAUUUCUUCUCACUUAUUAUUGAGAAUGUUCUCAUGUCUUGCAAGGCUCACUGCCCAGUAGAAGCUGAAAAGAUUCAGUAUGAGUAAAAGAAGAGAUCUGAAAUUUGCAGCUUGUCAUAGAAAGGAUCCCAGUGGAUUUGUUACGGUGAGAAAGCUUCACUUGGAGACAAAGCCAAAACCUUCCUCCCAGGCUCCCUUGGAUGUAGGGGGAAGCAAACUGGCUGUCCAGGCCUCUGAGCCACAUCUACACACCUCAUGAGAGGGCCUGUGCAACAUUGCCUUAGAGAUGGAGAGCAUUGCUUCAGAAUCAGGGAAGCCUAAAUUUCACCCCUGGGGCUGCCCCUUGUGAUCUUGAAUGGCUCCUGACAAGAGGCUGCUGGGGAGGCUCCUGCUCCCUGCCUUUCGGGACUGCCGUGGAUUGCCCAUUGAUGGGUCAAAAUCCAGCUACCUGGUAAUUCAAUGAGUCCCUAGUGUGCAUCCAAUAAAUUAUCUUCUGUUUAAAUUAGAACAAACUGUUUUUAAUCUGUGUGCUAAGAAUCUCAUUAAAUGCAUCAUAAAUUUCAAAAUCAAAAACUAAAUAAAACAUUUAUCUAUCGAGUACUAAAA